GUGGGGAAUCUUCCACAAUGGACGAAAGUCUGAUGGAGCAACGCCGCGUGAGUGAAGAAGGGUUUCGGCUCGUAAAGCUCUGUUGUCGGGGACGAAUGUGCAGUAUUUGAAUAAAGUACUGUAAUGACGGUACCUGACGAGGAAGCCACGGCUAACUACGUGCCAGCAGCCGCGGUAAUACGUAGGUGGCAAGCGUUGUCCGGAAUUAUUGGGCGUAAAGGGAGCGCAGGCGGGAAGGUAAGUCGGUCUUAAAAGUGCGGGGCUCAACCCCGUGAUGGGAUCGAAACUAUCUUUCUUGAGUGUAGGAGAGGAAAGUGGAAUUCCUAGUGUAGCGGUGAAAUGCGUAGAUAUUAGGAGGAACACCAGUGGCGAAGGCGACUUUCUGGACUGUAACUGACGCUGAGGCUCGAAAGCCAGGGGAGCGAACGGGAUUAGAAACCCCGGUAGUCC
rnacentral:rRNA from 1 species